rnacentral:rRNA from 1 species
GCAAACCCGCGAGGGGGAGCAAAUCUCAGAAAACUAUUCUUAGUUCGGAUUGUACUCUGCAACUCGAGUACAUGAAGUUGGAAUCGCUAGUAAUCGCAAAUCAGCAAUGUUGCGGUGAAUACGUUCUCGGGUCUUGUACACACCGCCCGUCACACCACGAGAGUUGGUUGCACCUGAAGUAGCAGGCCUAACCUUAGGGAAGGAUGCUCCGAGGGUGUGGUUAGCGAUUGGGGUGAAGUCGUAACAAGGUAUCCGUACGGGAACGUGCGGAUGGAUCACCUCCUUU